GGCGUUUCGGAUCUAAUUUUGGUCUUUUGAGAGAUUUUCUUGUACUCCGCCUUUUCGACAUUAAUAAAGUAUUUGCUCCGUCUUCGCCCAUGGACGUAGGCCGUUGGCGGAACCACAUAAAUAUCGGUGUAUUCUUUCCUUAUUUUUUCUUUUCUUGCAUUAAUUUAAUUUCUAGAUCUAUUUUUCGCCGUUCCGAUUUUAACAUGCUCUUUAUUUUUUUCUUCCUUACUUUCUCACUCUUUACUUUCUCUUUUCUUACUUUCUCUUUUGAACUUUUCUCUUCUUAAUUUCUCUCUCCACUUUCUUUCUCCCCAAUUUCUCUCUCACUUUCUAUUUCUUUAGUUUCUCUCUCUUUACUUUCUCUCCUUAAUUUCUCUUUUUAUUUCUCUGUCCGUAAUUUCUCUAUCUUUGCUUUCUCUUUCCUCAAUUUGUCUUUUUUCACUCUCUUAUUAAUCUCUAUUUAUUUUCUCUCUUCUUAAUUCUUUCUCGCACUUUUCUUUAUGAUGCUUUUUUUUAUUUUCUUUUUAAUUUCUCUUUCUUUAUCUUCCUUCGCUUUCUUUCUCCUUUUUUUUUUUCUUUCUUCUCACUUUCUUCCUCAUUAUCUUCUCUCUCAUCGUUCUCUCUUUUGUUGUAACACUCUUUAGUUUCCAUCUUAUUAUUUUCUCUUUCAUGCCUCACUCUAUCUUCGCACUUUCUCUCUCUCAUUAUCUUCUCUCUCCUCACUUAUUCUCUCUUCACUUUUUCUCUUUUCUCUUUCUUUGUUAUAUCUCUCUUCAAUUUCUCUUCUCAUUUCUUUUUGUCACCUUAUCUGUUCUCUCCAUUUGCUCUACUAUUCCUUUAUUCUCUUUUUCACUAUCCUUUUAUUUUUUUUUUUUGCUCUCCUUUUUUUUUGUAUAAAUUGAGUUUUAAAAUCGAGGUUUUAAAAUAAAUUUUCGAGAAGGGUUGACUAGUUUUGUAAAAUUAUAUAGUUUUCAAUGAAACAAAAAUGCCACUCCCUAGGUUUGAUAGUAUAGAAAUUCGUAGAAGUGAUCGUUUUGUGAUUUUUCAUGAUAAAAGUGUGAUUUAUAGAGAAAUAAUGAGAGGGUAAACGAGAUGUUUUGGGCUAUUUUUGUAAAAAGCAUGACAUUUUAUAUGAU
rnacentral:lncRNA from 1 species